AUUGUUACCAGGUAAUCAGGGAACAUCAGGCGGCAACCCACCGUGACGUCGACCGCUGGUUUGUCAGCUGCCGUUCCGCCGCCUGGAGCAGCGCCAUGUUGGUGUUUUUGAAACCGGACGUAGGAUCCGGGGUUGGAGAAUUCUCUUAAAGUUAAACUGAAUUUGACAGUUUGAUAUUUAAGAUAUAAAGUGUUUUUUUUUAUCUCUAUGUGAUUGGCCUCCAAUUGCUUCGCAAGGUCUUCAGACUGACGACUGAUCAACGUGACUAAUUGCCAGGAGUCACUUCAUCUGAAUAUAAAGAUGUGAUUUUUUUCCUUCUUUUUCAUAAACCAGCUAGCGGCUCCUGUUGCUGGAUCUACAUUCAGAUCGGAGUCUUAAUCUUUAGUCUUUAGUUAGGCCUUGGGGAAUCCUUGUUAAUAGAUCGUCUUGCUUUGGGCCUCUGGCUUAAUCCUUGCCAUUUACCACUUCCUAUGCUGGUUUGCUAAAUACUCUAAAUUAGUUGGCUGGCGGGGCAUUUUGUAUCACUCUGUGUCCUGACCACUCCUCUUUUUUUUCUCCCUGGUAAUAUUUUGGAAAGGAGGUGGGGGGCGGUGAGGCCUGACCUUGGAAUGGCCACGAUGGGAUCUUGGUGCUUAAUCUUUAACGUUUCUCUGCGUAUACCGCUAACUUCAUAGUGAACGGAUAAUUAACUCCCCAGUAUCAAUUAGCAUUCAGCAUGUAGCGGGGGGGUAACGAGGAGCCAAUUAAAAGAAAAUAUACAUAAUCAAUUAUUUAUUCGCUCUUAAUUACAGUGAGUUUUUACCCUGUUACGGCGGCGGCGGUUCAAUUAAUGACCUUCAGCUAUCUUCAUUUGAAAUUGCCGUGGAGCGGAGGAAUUUACCCAAACCCCACAGCCCAAACAUCCGGAAGCGCGCCUCAGGGCAGCACACCCAGCGGCGUGGAGGGCCUGAGAGCAAACUGUAAGACUGAGUAAUCAGAAUGGGACAUACCUCCUCCAAGGCCCGACAGUCCCCUCAAAUUCAAUCAAGAGCCGCACCAAUUGCUCUCACUUAAAGAUAUCAGUCCCCUGAGUAUGUAAACAU
rnacentral:lncRNA from 1 species